GCGGCGCGUCACAGCUCUGGGUGGCAGCGGAGGGGAGAUGCGGCUGCUAGCUUUGGCCACUGCCCUGUUGCUGGCGUGGGCUCCAGCCCCGGAGGUCUGUGGGGCCCUCAAUGUUACUGUGUCCCCAGGACCUGUGGUUAACUACGUGGAGGGGGAAAAUGCCACUCUUCUCUGCCACAUCUCCCAGAAGAGGCGAAAGGACAGCUUGCUGGCCGUGCGCUGGUUUUUUGCACAUCCCAACACCCAGGAAACCUUGAUGGUUAAGAUGACCAAGCUCAGGGUGGUGCAGUACUAUGGGAAUUUCAGCCGCAGCUCCUACCGGCAGCGGCUGCGUCUUCUGGAGGAAAGGCAUGGGGUACUCUACAUGCUCUCUCUUUUGACCCUCCGACCAGCUGAUCAAGGGCAUUAUGUCUGCAAAGUUCAGGAAAUUAGUAAGUACAAGAAUAAAUGGACAGCCUGGUCCAAUGGCUCUUCAGAGACAGAAAUUAGAGUGAUUUCCCUGAAAUCUUCUGAAGAUUCAUCCUUUGAAAAAAAGAAAAAGACUUGGGCAUUUUUUGAAGAUCUCUAUGUGUAUGCUGUGCUCGUGUGCUGCAUCGGGAUCCUCAGUGUUCUGCUCUUCACCCUGACCAUUGUCUGGCAGUCUGUGCUUAACAAGAGGAAGUCCAGAGCAAGACAUUAUUUGGUGAAAUGCCCUCAGAACAGCUCAGGGGAGACUGUUACCAGUGUGACCAGCUUGGCCCCAUUGCAGCCCAAGAAGAGCAAGAGGUCAAAGGAAAACACUGAUGUUCCUCCCGCAGUUCCUGCUAAAGGAUGUUUCCUAGGGAUACUUGGAGCCCUGUGGUGAAGUCCAGUUGUGCUAAGGCUGCACAUGUGUUGAGUGGGCAGAGGGGCUGUAUGACAUGGUGUUCUUUUAGGCAUUACAAGUGCAGAUCUGGGAAGGGAAGGGGGCAGAGAACCCCUGCCUGGGCCAGACACAUGCUGCUCUAAUGUCUCAUCAGAGAAGAUCGUACCUCCCCUUCAAAAGGGUGACAAUGAGCCUCAGAGAGCUAAGUAGUAGAGCCUGACUUUGAAGUGAGAUCUGCCUGACUUUCAAGGCCAAGUUCAAGUCUCAAAUAAGCUAAAUACUAAUUAUGUUAGUAUUUAGGGGGCAUUAGGGAAAGGGCCUCAGUUUCCUUCUCUUUAAGGGUCUCAGUUCCUUUCUCAGUUUCCACCCUCCCUGAUGACCAAUGAGAGCUGCUGUAACAGCCAAAGGUCAUUGUUGUCAGUGUUAGUGUGCAGUUAGGACCCCAGGGAAGGUACCAGCCUCAGCCUUUACCAAUCCUAUGUGUUUCUCAUCUGCACAUCUGACCUUGUUGCAGAGGGCAAUGCUUUAUACAGAGUUUUUUGUUGAACUUUAUGAGGGGAGAGGCUGACAUGUCCAAGGACUAGGAGGGGCACCCACCGAUACCUAGAUGAGAAACUAGAGUUCUUUCAUUGGAGUAGGAAGAGUCCUUCUGUCCCCGUAGAGUAUGUCUGUGAUGCUCAUAAGAUGUGGGUGUUAAGAAGAGUCCCAGGGGAAAUUACAAGCUGAACCCUUGACAUACUUCCACAGCUCCCAUAGCUGCCACCUUCCAUAAACCGAAGCUGCUGAAACCACAAAGGAAAACCACCCUGCCAAAGAUUGCUGAGGAGAACUUGACCUAUGCUGAGC